GUCAGGGUGGUGUAGUUGGUUAUCACGUUAGUCUCACACACUAAAGGUCCCCAGUUCGAACCUGAGCUUAGACA
rnacentral:tRNA from 1 species